CUGCACAAUGGGCGAAAGCCUGAUGCAGCAACGCCGCGUGAGUGAAGAAGGUUUUCGGAUUGUAAAGCUCUGUGACUCUUUGGGGACGAGUACUAAUGACGGUACCCAAGGAGGAAGCCACGGCUAACUACGUGCCAGCAGCCGCGGUAAUACGUAGGUGGCGAGCGUUGUCCGGAAUUGUGUACUGGGCGUAAAGGCAGGGAUUACAGGUCCUGCAUGUGUCCUCAGGUCGUGUGGUGAGAUAUUCGGG
rnacentral:rRNA from 1 species